UCCUACGGGAGGCAGCAGUGAGGAAUCUUGCACAACGGGCGAAAGCCUGAUGCAGCGACGCCGCGUGGAGGAUGACGGUCUUCGGAUUGUAAACUCCUGUUAAACGUGAAGAAAGACUUGUUUCUAAUACAGACAAGUUAUGACGGUACCGUUAGAGAAAGCACCGGCUAACUUCGUGCCAGCAGCCGCGGUGGUACGUAGGGGGCAAGCGUUGUCCGGACUUACUGGGUGUAAAGGGCGCGUAGGCGGAUUUGUAAGUCAGAGGUGAAAGCCCGCAGCUUAACUGCGGAACUGCCUUUGAUACUGCUUAUCUUGAGUUCGGAAGAGAGAAGCGGAAUUCCAGGUGUAGUAGUGAAAUACGUAGAUAUCUGGAAGAACACCAGUGGCGAAGGCGGCUUCUUGGUCCGUAACUGACGCUGAGGCGCGAAAGCGUGGGG
rnacentral:rRNA from 1 species